AGUAAACAGCACUCCUCCACAGCCUCUGCAUCAGCUCCUGCUCCAGGUUCCUGCCUCAUGUUUGGCUGAAAGUGGAUAAAGCUCUAUUGUAAGAGACCCCGUGGGGUAGAAAGCAGGAAGAGCUGUGUAGUUUGAAGCAACAAGCCAGAAAGACAUAUCCUAUGUUCCUGGCCUGUGUGUACCUCUGUACCUGGGGACCAUUCAUGUUCCUUCAUGGACCAGAUCACAUCUACUGGCGUGGAGACCAGAGGCCAGAUUUAAGCUUUUCUUGCAGUCUCCGUGACAUUGGGCUGUAUGUGCCUCAUUAGAUGGGAUUCCAUCCAGUGCGUCCCAGGAACCGCCCUGCCAUCUCACUUAAGAUUCUUAGCAACCUGUAAGUUUGGAGCCUACCAUAAUUUCAUGUCAUCCUGGGUCACAGACGCUCGUUCGCUCACUCCAUCGUGGACCAGCAGCUGUCAGCCAGUGCUGCCCACAGCUGUGUUCUCUGCCUCAUGCUGCUUUGCAGACCAUUGAAAGCAUCUCCCGCUCAGUGAGGUCUGGAUUUGAACCCAGGCCCCAUGCAUGCUAAUGGGGAGUGAAGUGCCACAGCCCAGGGUCUUCUUUUGACAGCCUAGUCCGUCCACCUUGUCCACAAGAUGUCCAGGUUAGGCCUGAGCCUAACCUGCUUCCCUUCCCCUUGCCAACUGCUCUCCAUCUAUGAAUGGUCCCCGGGAAUUAGGAAGAAUGGGGUGGGAGUGGGAUUGGCCACUCCUAGGAGUCUGGUGUUUGUUUCAUCUCCUCUAUAAAUGGUGUAAGAAAGAUGUCCCAGCAAGACGUAGUAGCACACAUCUGGGAUACUAGCACUCAAGAGGUAGAGGCAAGGGUUAUCCUGAGCUACAUAGCCUAUCCAAAACCAGUCUGGGUUACAGGAGACCCUGGUUUUAUUCAUUCAUUCAUUUAUGAUAUUCUCUUUAUCCAGUUCCAACCUAAACUAAAUAAAUUAAAAUUUCAGUUUCUCUCUCUAUGUAA
rnacentral:lncRNA from 1 species